rnacentral:misc_RNA from 1 species
CUUCAUUUAGAGGAAGUAAAAGUCGUAACAAGGUUUCCGUAGGUGAACCUGCGGAAGGAUCAUUAACACGUAUCCACGUAUCAACCCCAUGUGCUCUUUGGUCUCGUACCCUGCCAAGUGAGAAAAGUCGGAAGGUGAACUGAAUGGUGAGGAAACAUUCGUGUUUCCUGGUUCGCACUCCGCUAUGGCUUUUCUCGUUAAUUUUGGUAGGCUUUUUUUGUUCUUUCACCAUUGGGAGCAAUCCUUUUUUUAAUAAUUAACCCCUUGUAACUUUUGAUACUGAUUCAAUGCUUAACCGGCUGGUAACGGCUUGUUAAUCAAUGAUACGAAACGCUUGACAACUCUUAACAACGGAUAUCUUGGCUCUC